CCUACGGGUGGCAGCAGUGGGGAAUAUUGCACAAUGGGGGAAAGCCUGAUGCAGCGACGCCGCGUGAGUGAAGAAGUCUCUCGGUAUGUAAAGCUCUAUCAGCAGGGAAGAAAAUGACGGUACCUGACUAAGAAGCCCUUGCUAACUACGUGCCAGCAGCCGCGGUAAUACGUAGUGGGCAAGCGUUAGCCGGAUCGACUGGGUGGAAAGGGAGCGUAGACGGCGCUGCAAGUCCGGAGUGAAAGCCCAUGGCUUAACCAUGGUACUGCUCUGGAUACUGUGGAGCUUGAGUGCGGGAGAGGCAGGCGGAAUUCCUGGUGUAGCGGUGAAAUGCGUAGAUAUUAGGAGGAACACCGGCGGCGAAGGCGGCCUGCUGGACCGUAACUGACGUUGAGGUGCGAAAGCGUGGGGAGCAAACAGGAUUAGAUACCCUAGUAGUC
rnacentral:rRNA from 1 species